GAUGAUGUAGUUUAAUUGGUAGAACGUAGGAAUCAUAAUCCUAAUGUUAUAGGUUCAAGUCCUAUCAUCAUUA
rfam:Saprolegnia parasitica CBS 223.65 mitochondrial scaffold supercont2.1443, whole genome shotgun sequence.